rnacentral:tRNA from 1 species
UGGGGCGUCGCCAAGCGGUAAGGCGCCGGACUUUGGAUCCGGUAUUUCGUAGGUUCGAAUCCUACCGCCCCAGCCA